rnacentral:rRNA from 1 species
AUACGGAGGGGGCAAGCGUUGUUCGGAAUUACUGGGCGUAAAGGGCACGUAGGCGGCUUUGUAUGUCAGGCGUGAAAGCCCCGGGCUUAACCUGGGAGGUGCGUUUGAAACUGCAUGGCUUGAGGACGGAAGAGGAGAGCGGAAUUCCCAGUGUAGAGGUGAAAUUCGUAGAUAUUGGGAAGAACACCGGUGGCGAAGGCGGCUCUCUGGUCCGGAUCUGACGCUGAGGUGCGAAAGCGUGGGGAGCAAACAGGAUUAGAUACCCCGGUAGUCC